UUUCCUUUAUUAAGCAGAUGGGCCCUUCGCUUGGCCAAAGCGUGCGAACCGAGCAGCUCUUCGCGAUCCGGAAGCAAGACGGAGAGAGUUAGGGAGGCGAGCGAGAGAGCAGUUUUUCCGGUGAGAGCUAGAGGGAGGAGAAGAAUCGAAAGCCCGGCCCUAUCUAGGUGGAGCCGAGAAGAAGGUUCAAAAGCUUCGUAUUGCUCGAUUCUUGCUCGUGACAAAGCAAAGAAGUGAUCAGAUUCUGCAGAGACAAAGCACUCUCAAAAUCUGGGAUCGAAAGCUCAACUGCUGAUCCACGGCUGCGGUCAACGCAGAGCUUCAUGAAAGAAGGAAAGGAGAACGUGGCGCUCAUAAAACCAUACUGUCGGUCGAAUCUUCUUUCAAACUUUCUUCUGAAUCGAAAAUCCAGUCCCUCGAAAUCAAGCUUCUUCCAGCAUCGAGGAUCCAAAGAAGCUUCAUACCAAGAUUUACAAACAAAUGGAAGAACAAUUGUGAGUUCUUCCAAUCCUACAUAGCAGAAAACACAAACCAAGCAAUCAGAAGCCAAAUUCUCCCACUUUCUUUCUUCAACUUCCAUGAUCUCUCCGUCUCUCUCUCUCUCUAUCUGUGUUUGUCUGUCUGAUCACUGUAAUCUCUUCUUAAUCCGACUAUUUCAUGGAAAGGUUCUUAAUAAACUUGGCGGAAAAUGAUGAGCAAAUGUCGUGCUCAUGAAAACUCAGUAAGGAUUAAAUUAAGAUGGAUUUUAUGCAAAUAACUUAAAAUAAUAAUACUAUGAACGGUA